ACUGCUUUCUGGGGGUAUUUCGAUGUAAAAAAUCGGGAUUGAGAGAGUCCCUUUGAACCUGAACAUGUUGAUACAUGCGUAGGAAAUGAAAGCAGGAAUAGAU
rnacentral:ncRNA from 2 species